CCUACGGGGAGCUGCAGUGGGGAAUAUUGGACAAUGGGCGAAAGCCUGAUCCAGCCAUGCCGCGUGUGUGAAGAAGGCCUUCGGGUUGUAAAGCACUUUCAGUGGGGAAGAAAGCCUUGGGGCUAAUACCCUCGAGGAAGGACAUCACCCACAGAAGAAGCACCGGCUAACUCCGUGCCAGCAGCCGCGGUAAUACGGAGGGUGCGAGCGGUAAUCGGAAUUACUGGGCGUAAAGCGCGCGUAGGCGGUCUGAUAAGCCGGUUGUGAAAGCCCCGGGCUCAACCUGGGAACGGCAUCCGGAACUGUCAGGCUAGAGUGCAGGAGAGGAAGGUAGAAUUCCCGGUGUAGCGGUGAAAUGCGUAGAGAUCGGGAGGAAUACCAGUGGCGAAGGCGGCCUUCUGGACUGACACUGACGCUGAGGUGCGAAAGCGUGGGUAGCAAACAGGAUUAGAUACCCGGGUAGUC
rnacentral:rRNA from 1 species